rnacentral:lncRNA from 1 species
GAAAUUCUUUCAGGGAGUGUAAAACAGUACAAGUGGUGGCAGUCUUGCAGGAAAUUGUAUCCAGGCCAGGUGAGUUCUGAUACCUAUAACUUCUUCAGUGGAAUUGAUGUCUUUGUGACAAAACAUUCCGUCAUCACAACCCUUAUUUAUGCUGCAAUUUAGAGAGCUCUAGGCUUGCAGUAUCUACCAUAUUAUAAAGCACUUUAAAACUCCACCUGUGCCCAGAACCCUCCCCACAAACAACCAAGGGCUUUGUCUGUCCCAGCUGAAAUGCCAGCUAACGGGCCAUUGGUGGGGUUUGGGCUUUCCCAAUGAGAAUAUGUGGGUAUAAAUGACUAAGAGACCAAGGCACGCUGGAGAAUCACAAGGGGCUCCUGAGUACCCAGACUAGUGGGAGACAGAGUCACAUGACAACAUUGAAGAAUCGAACCCUCAUGAAUCUGCUCCAAGGCAGGGAUAACAGCAAUUUUCUCUCUCUCCUAUGAAUUAAACUUCCAUUUCCCUUGGUGGCCAGAUCAAGUUACUGAAAGACAAUUUACUUAUCUGGAAAAUGAUUCAUUCUUCCACCUGUGAAACAAGAACCAAGCUCUCCCACUUCAAGACUAAGCAAGUAGACAGAUCAGCCAGACAGAGAAGUGAGGUGAGAAGAUGGGAGGUGGGCAUCCAUGGCAAAGAAAACAACUGCCUCAUUUCUUCCUCUUUCCCACACCAUCCCCUUUCUUCCUGUUCUGGACACCUAGAACCCCAUCC